AAAAAUUUGUCACCGAGUUCCCUUCUGGGGAAGCGGGGGAACCAGUUUUGGGGUGAAAUGCAAUCAGCAUGGGGCUAUCACUUCGGCCCUAACCCGUCAGCUAACCUCGUAGGUGUGGAAAGUGAGGCAUC
rnacentral:sRNA from 2 species